rnacentral:lncRNA from 1 species
CUUGAAUUCAAACCAUUUUGACAUUGCCAAUGAAUUAAUUUUGUUUUCUAGAUCCCUUUCCCUAAUUUCUUUUUUCAUUCUCCAACCUUUGUGCUAUGUUUUAUCUGUACAACUUCACAAGGCUGUCAAGGUAACCAAGCAGUGGUGAUUUCCUAUCACUUAUAUGAUUCCCAACUGAUCUUGGCUUGCCAAAAGAAGAUAUAAGAGGAGAACUGAAAAAGAAUGAGAAAGUAAACGAAAAGAACAAGAAAAAGGUAGGAACGAAGGCAAGAAGGAAAAAGAAUCAAAAUAAAAGGGCAGCA